GCUGCAGCAGAGGGGAAGAAAGCACGCCGCAGGCAGUGCCCUCCGGAAGCCGUGGAAGGGAAGGCGGCUGACUGCUCAUGCAGCGCCAGCACGUCGUCACAGACUCAAACCAGGACGUGCUCUAUGAUGCCAGAUCACAGCUCUAAGAAUCAGGAUGGAAGCAAAAGGUUCCCCUGAGAAGACAAAAAGAGAUGUCACAAAGUGUUUGCCCUACAUCUCAGGCAUCUUAGCAUUACCUACGGGCCGAUGGACUCGUUCAGAAAGACUCUCACAUUCCAACAAGAGCAGCAGUCUUGUUUCAAACCCCAGAGUGAAUUAGAAGUGAAGAGAGAUUCUUCUCUGCGCAAGGACAGUGACCAUCGGAAGUGACAGCUGACACUCUGAUAAUCAGAGGCAGAAAAACGACUAAACAGCCACAAAUUCGCAGAAGUCAGCAGUUCGGUUCUCCUGAGCAAAGGGGUGUGGCCUGGUGCUGCUUUGCUUCCUCCCGAUCCAGUCCUCCAAGGUCCACUUACUCUCAAGUCUGG